UUGAACGCUGGCGGCAUGCUUUACCCCUGCAAGUCGCACGGUAACAGGCCGCAAGGUGCUGACGAGUGGCGAACGGGUGAGUAAUGCAUCGGAACGUGCCCAGUCGUGGGGGAUAACUACUCGAAAGAGUAGCUAAUACCGCAUACGAUCUAUGGAUGAAAGCGGGGGACCGUAAGGCCUCGCGCGAUUGGAGCGGCCGAUGUCAGAUUAGGAAGUUGGUGGGGUAAAGGCUCACCAAGCCAACGAUCUGUAGCUGGUCUGAGAGGACGACCAGCCACACUGGGACUGAGACACGGCCCAGACUCCUACGGGAGGCAGCAGUGGGGAAUUUUGGACAAUGGGCGCAAGCCUGAUCCAGCAAUGCCGCGUGCAGGAAGAAGGCCUUCGGGUUGUAAACUGCUUUUGUACGGAACGAAACGGCUCUGGUUAAUACCCGGGGCUAAUGACGGUACCGUAAGAAUAAGCACCGGCUAACUACGUG
rnacentral:rRNA from 1 species